UAGUCCCAGCCCAGGGACGACAGGCCCCGGCCACGCCUGGGCUGCGCCCGUUGGGAGUGAGAAAAGGGAAGUAGUACUGCUCAGUGCCCUGCCUGGCCAGCUCAGCCCUGCCCGGGAAGCCCAGCCCUUGAAGUCGAGGGGGCCUGUGCACAGCAUUGCUCACCUGAGCCGGGGCCACUGAAGAGCUGACAGCCCAGCUUCUUGUGGUCCAUAAAGGCAGUGAUGGCUUCCAGCGGAAAGGUCUGCAGGCAGCGGCCGCAGGGUUGGCGGCGGGCGCUGGGUCUACUCGGCGAGGCGUGCUGCCGGCCUUGCGGCGGGACAUGAGUCGCGGGCCGGGCGAGCGGGCGGGCAGGCGGAGGACGCGCGAGUGGAGGACGCAAGGGCAGUGCGCGCUCACACCGAGGCUCAGGGCUAGGGGAAACUGAGGCUCAAGACACCCACCCACACCCGCAAGGGAGAAAAUGGUGAUCCAUAUCCUUACCAGACGCCUGAUAGUAUCCUGGACUGUUCCGUUAAAUGCACUACAAUACAAAUUCAUUCAUUCAAACGUUGAGCGCCUGCUGGGCACCAGACUGUUCUGAACGCUAGAGAUCCAACAGGAAAAAGAGCUCCCUGCACUCCAGGGGUUUAUGUUGUGGGAGAUACUGCGUAUAAGACAACCAUGUACUUGCUCUGCAGAGUGCCUUUCCUGACAAGUGCUCCGAGCAAAAUAAAACUAGGAAGAGGGCCUCCCUUUUCUCGCCCAUGCCAGGGAAAAGGCAUGGUGAUGUUGACACCCAGGGAGGGGAAGGAGUCAGACGUGGCCCUGUGCGUUCAGGAAUAACAAAGCGGAGGCAGCAUCACUGGUAUGGUGUUCAGUGUGAAAAGGGGGGCACAUCCUGGAGUCUCUUGACCACUUUAGGAAAAAAGAGGUUUUCCUGAGCCAGGAGUCUUAGAGGGUUUUGAGCACAGGAGAGUUGUAAUUUCACAUGCUACUCUGUUCCUAGACCUGGAAUCGUCUUUAAAACAAUACCUAAUCCUCUCGCCUGCCUCCACUCGUGGUAAACUUCUCUCUGAGCACUGCUCUCUGAUCACUGUUUGAAGUGGCAUCAACGCCCUGCCCCACCCUCAGUCCUUUACAAGUUUUCUUUUCUUCCUGGAAGUGACCACAUUAUAGAACGGUUUGUUGACUAUCUUCACUACCCCCACCCAAAGCAAGCCCCCUGAGGUCAGGGCCAGGGUCUGUCCUCUGCCAGGUGUCCGCAGCCCAGGACUGAGAAUUUCAGAUGCUGAUCUCUUGGAGUUCCUCAUAUUGUUAUUCAGUUCUCAGCUCAAUUGUCCUCCUGAGAGCAGAGGGCUUCCCUGACCAGCAGUAUCUAAAGUAGUCCCACCCUGCUGAAGGCCUUGCAAAUUACACCUGAUGACCUCCACCUGUCCCCAGUUCCCUCCUGGGCUUCAGUUUUCCCAUCUCUGAAAGGAUUCCUCUACUGACCACCCAGUUUUAAUUUCCCCCAACUCUGCUACCCACUAUCCCAUUGCCCUGAUUUUAUUCUUUUUAUAUCAUUUGAUUAAGCCCUUUAAGGUCUUGUUUAUGUGUCUGUUCAUUUAUACUCUUUCUGUCCCUCCCACUGCCACUGUAAUGUAGGUUCUGAGGGGGGGCAAGAUCAACGUCUUGUUCACAGUUAUAGCCCCUACUUGUUCAUUGUUAAGUCAACAAAUAUUUUCUGAGCUCCUGCAAUGUGCUUGACUCUCUAUCAACAAAUGUUUGCAGAGGGUCCAGCAGGUAGCAUGGAGGUUAAGGGCAC